rnacentral:rRNA from 1 species
UGGGGAAUAUUGGACAAUGGGGGGAACCCUGAUCCAGCCAUGCCGCGUGUGUGAAGAAGGCCUUAUGGUUGUAAAGCACUUUAAGCGAGGAGGAGGGUACUGGUAUUAAUACUACCAGCUACUGGACGUUACUCGCAGAAUAAGCACCGGCUAACUCUGUGCCAGCAGCCGCGGUAAUACAGAGGGUGCGAGCGUUAAUCGGAUUUACUGGGCGUAAAGCGUGCGUAGGCGGCUAAUUGAGUCGGAUGUGAAAUCCCCGAGCUUAACUUGGGAAUUGCAUUCGAUACUGGUUAGCUAGAGUGUGGGAGAGGAUGGUAGAAUUCCAGGUGUAGCGGUGAAAUGCGUAGAGGUCUGGAGGAAUACCGAUGGCGAAGGCAGCCAUCUGGCCUAACACUGACGCUGAGGUACGAAAGCAUGGGGAGCAAACAGG